CUCGCCUCCCGACCCCGCCGCGGCCCCGGAGUCCCAGGCGCGCCUCCGCGUCGCUGCCUCCAGGGACUCUCCCAGGAGCGACCCGCGCGCUCCCGGCCUCGAGGAAGUCGCGCUUGAUGUAUAUACAUCGUCAUUUUUUCAGAGAAGCUGUCAGCUCUGACAAAUGAAAGAAAGUGGAAGCCAGGGAGGCUGCACCUGCAGAAAGUGCUGGAACUCCCCAGCCAACCUCUACCCAUCUGUCCUUUAAGAAGAGUGCUUGGACCUUACUUGAUUGUUUGAGAUCCAGCCUUUGGAUUUUCCUAAAGUAAAUCCCAGAAAUGGAAAUUUGUGCUUAUCAUCCAUCCUGCACAAACAUUUUAAUUUCUGAGUGGCCCGGAUUGAGCCAAGAAGCAAGGAUCCUUCCUGCCGUGGCCAGAGAAGAUCUGGAAAAACUGAAAACCUUCAGCUGAGGAUAGGAAGGCAAUAACUUAGACCCACAGAAAAACAAAAAUUUCUAGCUAGAAAAAAAAAAAAAAGAGAGAGAGAAAUGCUCCAAGUGAAGUUAGAAAAUUUAUAUUUGUAUAAAAGUCCUUUGAUCCUCAUUUGACAGUAAAUGUAUUUUGCUAGUUA